GUUUCCUUCUGCUUGGAAGAUCCUUUCUGUUUUGUCAGCUCUUACUUCCAUGUUGUGGAAAACUGAUCUGACCUCCUAGUCCUGAAUCAGGGGCCAUAAAGAAAAUUGAUGAGGACAACUGGCCUCCCAGUAUGUGGAUUCAGUUUCCAUAUGUCAAUUUACCAACUCCCACUGGUAGUCUGAAGAGAUAUGGCUACUGGAGAACAGAAAAUCACCAGUAUUAAUAAAAGCAAUUUUAAGUGUUUACCUUUUAGUAUUUGAAUAGCUUUGUUAAAGAGACGUACUCAAGAAUACUAUGAAGAGACUCUUAUUGUACUCCUUACCUGGAGAUAAUUGUGAUGCCAGAAAUUCAAAUUUAUAUUCAACAAUAUGGUUUUUCAACCAUCAAUAUUAUAAACAUCUAGGCAGUGUCUAUUGUUUGCGCAUUUGCCAUCCUCUAAAAUGAGAUUAUUCUAAGCAUAAAUUAUACUUCAUCAUUCAAGAUUAUAAACAUUUAUAAUAAUCAUAAUAUUCACAGACAUUUCCCUGCUCUCAAAUCACUAGAGCUAAUAGGCAAAGUAGAUACAGCUACAAACAGUGGGAGAAAAUAUUUCUGGCUGACCUACAAAUAGCUGUGCAAUAAUGUAGAGAGGAAAAUAUAGUCUCACUUACAGUGUCUGAAAUUGAGUUUCCCUCUUUAAAGGACAAAGUAAUUUUCAAAAAUAUUUGAGUAUUAUUCUGUGUAAAAAAUCUCUGUUUUAACUGGCUUAUUGAAUUGUAUUUCUUUAUUGUGUUUGUAUUCACUUUUCCAUUUGUGGGUGGAAUUUAUUAUAAUUACCAGUUUUAUACUGAAUGAAACAAAAAUCUCAUAGAUUUAAUAAAACUUUAAAUUCCUUGUCAUUAAUAAUAAAAUGUAUAUGCUUUCUCUAAUAAGUCCAUACUUUAUUGUUUAAAACCUGUUUUUCCUCUUUCUCAAGCACAUGGAUUGUUAAUUUAAAUUCUGAAAUAAA
rnacentral:lncRNA from 1 species